UUACAAGUCCCGUGAGGGGAUAGAGCCGACGUUCUGGCGCGCAUUCGGCGGUUCGGCUCGUAGGCGCAUUCAGUGCUCUGUUCGAGUGUCUGUUUGCUACCGGCUUGCAGUUCUGCCUCAUUUGCGUGCGGAGAGCGCUGAGGGGCGUUGGUACGGUUGGCGAGACGCAACGUGUGGACACCUCCGGGUGCACCUGCCUGCGUGGAGCUUUCUGCGCUGACGUCGCCGCUGGCGGCCCUGAGUGAAGCGGCUUCUUGAUCGUCAGGGGGUCUUUGCUUGCGCAUGCGCUUGCAUCACGCUGUCUGGCGAGCGGCUGUCGUGGAACUCGGUGGUCAGACCUCGGCGUACGAGUUGGUCACCUAUCCGACCCGUCUUGAAACACGGACCAAGGAGUUUAGCGCAUACGCGAGUCAAUGGGAGGCAAACCCAGAGGCGCAACGAAAGUGAACGUAAAAGAUGCGAUCCGGGCUCUAGGGCCGUCAGGAGCAACAUCGCCCUGUGCCGCAUCCCGCGGGAUUGAGCACUGAGGCAGAGCGUAUGCGAUGAGACCCGAAAGAUGGUGAACUAUUCCCGAGCAGGACGAAGCCGGGGGAAACUCCGGUGGAAUGUCCGAAGCUGGUUCUGACGUGC
rnacentral:rRNA from 1 species